rnacentral:rRNA from 1 species
GAUGAACGCUGGCGGCGUGCCUAAUACAUGCAAGUCGAGCGAACAGACCAGGAGCUUGCUCCUCUGACGUUAGCGGCGGACGGGUGAGUAACACGUGGAUAACCUACCUAUAAGACUGGGAUAACUUCGGGAAACCGGAGCUAAUACCGGAUAAUAUAUUGAACCGCAUGGUUCAAUAGUGAAAGACGGUUUUGCUGUCACUUAUAGAUGGAUCCGCGCCGCAUUAGCUAGUUGGUAAGGUAACGGCUUACCAAGGCAACGAUGCGUAGCCGACCUGAGAGGGUGAUCGGCGACAGUGGAAGUGAGAGACGGUCCAGACUGCGACGGGAGGACGCAGUAGGGAAUCUUCCGCGAUGGGCGAAAGCCUGACGGAGCAACGCCGCGUGAGUGAUGAAGGUCUUCGGAUCGUAAGACUCUGUUAUUAGGGAAGAACAAAUGUGUAAGUAACUAAGCACGUCUUGACGGUACCUAAUCAGAAAGCAACGGCUAACUACGUG